rnacentral:rRNA from 1 species
UACGUAGGGUGCAAGCGUUGUCCGGAAUUAUUGGGCGUAAAGGGCUCGUAGGCGGUCUGUUGCGUCGGGAGUGAAAACCCAGGGCUUAACCCUGGGCUUGCAGUGGAUACGGGCAGACUAGAGGCAGGUAGGGGAGAAUGGAAUUCCCGGUGUAGCGGUGAAAUGCGCAGAUAUCGGGAGGAACACCGGUGGCGAAGGCGGUUCUCUGGGCCUGACCUGACGCUGAGGAGCGAAAGCGUGGGGAGCGAACAGG